rnacentral:rRNA from 1 species
UGGGGAAUUUUGGACAAUGGGGGAAACCCUGAUCCAGCCAUCCCGCGUGUGCGAUGAAGGCCUUCGGGUUGUAAAUCACUUUUGGCAGGAAAGAAACGUCAUGGGUUAAUACCCCGUGAAACUGACGGUACCUGCAGAAUAAGCACCGGCUAACUACGUGCCAGCAGCCGCGGUAAUACGUAGGGUGCAAGCGUUAAUCGGAAUUACUGGUCGUAAAGCGUGCGCAGGCGGUUCGGAAAGAAAGAUGUGAAAUCCCAGAGCUCAACUUUGGAACUGCAUUUUUAACUACCGGGCUAGAGUGUGUCAGAGGGAGGUGGAAUUCCGCGUGUAGCAGUGAAAUGCGUAGAUAUGCGGAGGAACACCGAUGGCGAAGGCAGCCUCCUGGGAUAACACUGACGCUCAUGCACGAAAGCGUGGGGAGCAAACAGG